UACGUAGGGUGCGAGCGUUGUCCGGAUUUAUUGGGCGUAAAGGGCUCGUAGGUGGUUGAUCGCGUCGGAAGUGUAAUCUUGGGGCUUAACCCUGAGCGUGCUUUCGAUACGGGUUGACUUGAGGAAGGUAGGGGAGAAUGGAAUUCCUGGUGGAGCGGUGGAAUGCGCAGAUAUCAGGAGGAACACCAGUGGCGAAGGCGGUUCUCUGGGCCUUUCCUGACGCUGAGGAGCGAAAGCGUGGGGAGCGAACAGGCUUAGAUACCCUGGUAGUCCACGCUGUAAACGGUGGGUACUAGGUGUGGGGUCCAUUCCACGGGUUCCGUGCCGUAGCUAACGCUUUAAGUACCCCCGCCUGGGGAGUACGGGCGCAAAGCUUAAAAAUCCAAGGAAUUGGACGGGGGCCCGGACAAACGGGGGAGCAUGCGGAUUAAUUCCGAUUGAACGCGUUAAACCUUAACUGGGUUUGACAUGGAUCGGGAAUGGUCCAAGAUGGGUGUGGCUCUUUUGGGGUCCGGUCACCAGGUGGUGCAUGGCUGUCGUCAGCUCGUGUCGUGAGAUGUUGGGUUAAGUCCCGCAACGAGCGCAACCCUUGUUCACUGUUGCCAGCACGUUAUGGUGGGGACUCAGUGGAGACCGCCGGGGUCAACUCGGAGGAAGGUGGGGAUGACGUCAAGUCAUCAUGCCCCUUAUGUCCAGGGCUUCACGCAUGCUACAAUGGCUGGUACAGAGAGUGGCGAGCCUGUAAGGGUGAGCGAAUCUCGGAAAGCCGGUCUCAGUUCGGAUUGGGGUCUGCAACUCGACCUCAUGAAGUCGGAGUCGCUAGUAAUCGCAGAUCAGCAACGCUGCGGUGAAUAC
rnacentral:rRNA from 1 species